AACGAUUGACUUUCGAAACAUGACAGAGCAAU
rnacentral:scRNA from 1 species